CUGCGGAAGGAUCAUUAAAGAAAUAAUCUCGAGGGCCGAUGGAAAGGAGAGAGGGUUGUAGCUGGCGUAAGCACGUGCACGCCCUCUUUCUCGACCAUAGGUCCUUAUGGGCGCGGGGCGACCCGCGUCUUCAUAAGCCCCUUCGUGUAGAAAGUCUAUGAAUGUUUUUAUUAUCAUCGACUCGCGACUUCUAGGAGACGCGAUUCUUUGAGACAAAAGUUAUUACAACUUUCAGCAAUGGAUCUCUUGGCUCUCGCAUCGAUGAAGAACGCAGCGAAUCGCGAUAUGUAAUGUGAAUUGCAGAUCUACAGUGAAUCAUCGAAUCUUUGAACGCACCUUGCGCUUAUCGGUGUUCCGAUGAGCAUGCCUGUUUGAGCGUCAUUAAAUUCUCAACCCCUCUCGAUUUGCUUCGAGAGGGUGCUUGGAUAGUGGAGGCUGCCGGAGACCUGUUUUUUCAGGACUCGGGCUCCUCUGAAAUGUAUUGGCUUGCGGUCGACUUUCGACUGUGCAUGACAAGGCCUUUGGCGUGAUAAUGAUCGCCGCUCGCCGAAGUGCACGAACGAAUGGUCUCGUGCCCCUAAUCAGUCGAUGUCUUUUCGAAGGCGUCUUCCUUAUUGACGUUUGACCUCAAAUCAGGUAGGACUACCCGCUGAACUUAAGCAUAUCAAUA
rnacentral:rRNA from 1 species